rnacentral:ncRNA from 1 species
GGAAAGUUUGGUUCUGGCUUAUGGUUAAUAUUAUCGUGAUAUAGACACAUUGGUACUAAAGGGGUAAAGGGAGUAAAGCAGGCUCAAUGUAAAGAUUUUAAUAGUUUUUAUUAUGAAGGCUGAUGAUGAGGACUAUUAAGUUUAUAUAAAGAUAGUUAAUAAAUUUUCCCUGCACCAGUGAAAAAUAUUGAAAAUAGUUAGAAAUAAUGAUUCAGGGUAGAUAAAUUGAGAAGGAAAGUUUGGUGCCAGCACCUGCGGUUAAACCAACUCUUGUAUUAAUCUUUUCGUAGUUAAGUAAUAGUUAAAAUAAGAGUAAUACAAAAUAGAAAUAUGGUUAAAUAUUAUCUAUAGAAUGUUCUGUAGGCUCUAUAAUCUUAAAGCUUAAAAAUCUAUUUAGUAGACCGGGAUUAGAUACCCCGUUAUUAAUGACGUACAAUAAUACUGCGGUAAGUACGAGUAGAAAUAAGACUUAAAAACCAAAGAACUUGGCGGUGCAUUAUAUUACUUUAGGGGAACUUGACGGUUAAAUCGAUAAUCCUCGUAAACCUUACCUCUUUUUAUCUUGCUAUACCGCCGUUGCCAGUUGAAUUUUCAAGAGUAAGAAGUUUUGCUUUAAAAAUAAUUGAUAAGUAUAAAACUAUAUUAAUUAAUUAUUUUGGAAUUCAGGUAAACGUAGUGGAACUAUAAAGAGGGCUUAGUUGAGUUACAUUGUUAUAAUAAUGGGGAAAUUAAAGUGAAACAUUUAAUGGAACUUGGACUUAAUAGUAAGUUUUUGUUAUGAAGGAAAGCUGAAUGGUAACCUAAUGCGCGUACAAAUUGCCCGGUGCCCCCAUAUAUAAAAAAAUUGGGGUAAGCCGAAACACGGUAAUUCUACUAAAAAGUGGUGUUAAGUAAAU